rnacentral:lncRNA from 1 species
GGGUUUGAGCAGAGCCAUGGCAUAUACUGAUGUGAGAUUAAAUUUACCUACACCUAGAGAAAUAAUUGGAGCACAUGUCUAUUUGGGCCAAGAGGAUAAAGGCCAGUAGAGGAAUCAGAUCAAAGAACUUCCUCAGGGAAGUGUGCAGAGAACUGGAGUGGACCUUCCCCUAGGAAGCUGCCCAAAACGAGAGUGCUGGAAAGCUGGCCGCAGUGAGGCACUUCAGAUCCCAAGGGUAUGCUGGGGAAGCUGCCACAGGUGGGAGCACUUGCUGCUGGACCCUAGGCACUGUUGAAACAACUGCACCAUCUGCAGGAGCCCAGCAAGCCAAAGCCAGGCAUCCCAUCUGGAGAGAGAGAAGACUGAAGCAGAAACACAAUGGGAAGGAAGCAAAGAUGGAGGUAGAAUAGCUGCCACGAGCCCUGAUAGUUUCAGGCCUUGACUGCAUGUCCUUAGGAUCUCAGGCUUCUCUGUUUUUCCUUUGGGUUCCAUGAAAAACCCCGAUAUUUUGGUAAUAAACACCCUUGGGUUGCUUUGCCU